rnacentral:lncRNA from 1 species
GCGGGCUGCUGGCAGGGAGCGGCCGAGACGUGCAGGGCCUUCCCGGGGGAUCGGAAGGUUGCGGAUGCCUUGGGAGCCGGGGGCCCUUGCGCGGGAUUGCAACCCCCGCGAAGACUCUGGCGCCUCCUGCAGGCGUCCCGAUCGCAGGCUGCGUGGGAGGGGGUACUGCAGGGUCGGGUAUGCUGCUGGAGGCCGGUUUUGGGGGUGACUCAGAAGCUAGAAAG